rnacentral:lncRNA from 1 species
AGACCAAAAGAGAAGAGGGAGACUGGGUUAUAAGGUUAGUUACAACCAGACCAGAAGAGAAGAGGGAGACUGGGCUUUAAGGUUAGUUACAACCAGAAGAGAAGAGGGAGACUGUGUUAUAAGGUUAGUUACAGCCAGACCAGAAGAGAAGAUGGAGACUGGGUUAUAAGGUUAGUUACAACCAGACCAGAAGAGAAGAGGGAGACUGGGCUUUAAGGUUAGUUACAGCCAGACCAGAAGAGAAGAGGGAGACUGGGCUUUAAGGUUAGUUACAACCAGAAGAGAAGAGGGAGACUGGGCUUUAAGGUUAGUUACAACCAGAAGAGAAGAGGGAGACUGGGCUUUAAGGUUAGUUACAACCAGACCAGAAGAGAAGAGGGAGACUGGGCUUUAAGGUUAGUUACAGCCAGACCAGAAGAGAAGAGGGAGACUGGGCUUUAAGGUUAGUUACAGCCAGAAGAGAAGAGGGAGACUGGGCUUUAAGGUUAGUUACAACCAGAAGAGAAGAGGGAGACUGGGCUAUAAGACUUUACAGGACCAUGCCUGGCUCCUAAUGAGCCUGUUGUGGGCUGAGAUCAAUCCCAGUACUCUGUCAACACAAAGACACCAUGGGCAGUUAAAAAAUGAGAAGCGGGAUUCACGAGGCCUAGCAAAACCACACCACUGACAGCUGCAGAUAGUCCGGGCGCUUGCCAGGAACACGAGGAAAACAUCCAACCCACUUUGGCUGCAACUGUUAUCCCUCCACAAUGCCUUCCAAUAUUUUCUGUGGAACCAAAACCCAGAGCAUUCAUUGUUCUUGGCAGGGACGGGCGCUUUUCAGAAAACAGCCCCGCUGGUGUUGACGAGGAACCGGCUUAACGACAAUCGCUUGCAAAUGUAUUUAUCUUUUAUAGUUCAUGAUCGCCCUGCGCUUUUCGCCUGGGCGCCUUUUGUCAUACCCGGGGACCGUGAAGCCAUUAGGAGCAACUCUGCCACGAUAACUACUAGGACAAUGACUCCCAUCUUUCCUGCGCUGUUUACUCACUAAUAUGGGGGGAGGCGGGCGGCGUGCCAGGCAACCUGCCCCGUUACAAUGAGGCGUUUCACGGGCCCAGCGGAGCGCUCGUCCUCGGCACGGCGCUGAGAUGACGAGGGGACCGCUGGCGAAAAACAAAAGCCUGGAUUAACAACGUUUCCUCACUGUGUGCACACAGAGCUAGUCUUUGUGAGGAUCAGGCCUAGUCCUUCUGUAAUCUAUUUACAGUAGUUACAAUGUUUGUGCUGUGACAGACCAUGUUAACCCACUCGGCGGUAUAGUGGGGUAGAGUGGCAUUGUUCACUGUGGAGUUCUAUGGAGGAUAUGGAUACCCUAGGCUCUGUGCCACACAGGGCCCAACACCAUUCCAGAGCAGGCUCUAUUUGGCAUUGUUACCAAGCCGGUAGUGUGUAGUCUACUCUACAUAGGGUAAUGGAAGGAUUAUGGCUAGAGCUGAAGGGGUUCUGAUUCAUGCUUGUGGAAAAUGGCUAAUGAGCUUGUUUGUUGUCACAAUGGGCCUUCCUCUGAGGUAACAGACUUCCAACACAGAGGACAGACAGAGGUACAGAGGGCGCACACACAUGCACACACACGCACACACACGCACACACACGCACACACGCACACACACACACACACACACACACACACACACACACACACACACACACACACACACACACACACACAGAGAGAAUCAACCCUCUAAACAGGACAGUAGAGGCAGCAGAUUGUUGGAUUCAUAUUUGCUGUCACGCUCCUGUUUUCUCAUCACAUUAAUACGCAUGGAGGAAUAAGAGUGUGAGAGGUGAGAGAGGGCACAGAGAGAGGCAGCUCAUCACCACACCAGCAGAAUAUUGUGGUGGCGGGGAGACAUCCCCUCUGUGAAUGACAAUGGUCUAAUUGCCAAAGCUCAUCUGCAUUUCAAUGUCUUUCUGUUCCGACACAUUAGCUCUGAGGCGGUCACAGCCCUGACAUAUUGAGAUGUAGUGCAAGAACUGUUCUCUGGGCACCAGGCGCUGUGGCUAAUGCACUUUGCUAAUGUAUUAUUUAGAAAGUGGCCCCGCUAAUUGAGUUUUAAUGUCAGCGACUGCUCUCCCGCAUACGUUUGACCGAGCAGGGGAAAGUUAAGAUGCUGACAGAUGAUAGCUGGCUGCUUGUGGCUGCUCCAAAGGUCACAGCAUCGGCGAGUGAACUGCUGUGACCUCUGCUAGUCUUACAGGAGACAUGGAUGCUUUUCCCCACCACUAUCCCCUGUGUUUUUCACAGUCUGCGGCAUCAUACACGGUGGCUGGGUGACCAGAGGUCCACUGGAUUGGAGAGAACUCAGUAUUUCUGAAUAUUGCCAAUGCCAAGAGACCCCUGGACAUGCUACUCCUUCACAUACAGCACUCCCCCUGCAGGAGAUACUGA